AUGCUCUGAUUUGCUUAUUGCACCACAUGUGUUUUUCUUUGAAACAAACUUGCUUUGGCGGUGGGCCCAGCCUGCCGCCAGAGGUCUAAACUUACAACCAAUUUUUUAUCAACUUGUCACACCAGAUUAUUACUUAAUAGUCAAAACUUUCAACAACGGAUCUCUUGGUUCUCGCAUCGAUGAAGAACGCAGCGAAAUGCGAUACGUAAUAUGAAUUGCAGAUAUUCGUGAAUCAUCGAAUCUUUGAACGCACAUUGCGCCCUCUGGUAUUCCGGAGGGCAUGCCUGUUUGAGCGUCGUUUCUCCCUCAAACCGCUGGGUUUGGUGUUGAGCAAUACGACUUGGGUUUGCUUGAAAGACGGUAGUGGUAAGGCGGGAUCGCUUUGACAAUGGCUUAGGUCUAACCAAAAACAUUGCUUGCGGCGGUAACGUCUACCACGUAUAUCUUCAAACUUUGACCUCAAAUCAGGUAGGACUACCCGCUGAACUUAAGCAUAUCAAAAGGCGGGAGGAA
rnacentral:rRNA from 1 species